CCUACGGGCGGCAGCAGUGAGGAAUAUUGGUCAAUGGGCUUACGCCUGAACCAGCCAAGUCGCGUGAGGGAAGACUGCCCUAUGGGUUGUAAACCUCUUUUGUCAGGGAGCAACGCCGGCUACGUGUAGCCGGACUGAGAGUACCUGAAGAAAAAGCAUCGGCUAACUCCGUGCCAGCAGCCGCGGUAAUACGGAGGAUGCGAGCGUUAUCCGGAGUUAUUGGGUUUAAAGGGUGCGUAGGCGGAAUGCCAAGUCAGCGGUAAAAUCGCGGGGCUCAACCUCGCUCCGCCGUUGAAACUGGUGUUAGUGAGUGGGCGAGAAGUAUGCGGAAUGCGGGGUGUAGCGGUGAAAUGCAUAGAUAUCACGCAGAACUCCGAUGGCGAAGGAAGAAUACCGGCGCCCAACUGACGCUGAGGAACGAAAGCGUGGGUAUCGAACAGGAUUAGAUACCCUAGUAGUC
rnacentral:rRNA from 1 species